UUUUAGUAUUAAAUAGUAUAAAAGUCGUCGUAAUGUCCGAGCUAUCAGAGUCGCGCAGCCGGAAGUGUGAACUUUGGUAGUUAGGGUGUUACAGUAAGCAAAGUUAUGUAUGUGUUUUGUGUUGCAGAGUAGGAUGCAUGGUGGCUAGCUUGGAAGAUAUUAAUGUUUCUGCUGUUGUAUGCCUUGGCUACCCGUUGAAGUUGUGCAAACGCAAGCUUUGUGACACCUCUUGUGUAUGCUGCCAUGGGAAGCUCAAGACAUAUUGCUAUAGGACCUGCAGCUAUGGUCUCACUCUUGCUUGGAGCUAUGCUUUCUCAUGACAUUAGAGACCACAAGAGCCAUGAAUAUCUACGUCUUGCCUUCACUGCUACAUUCUUUAUCAGAGUUACUCAGCUCGCACUCGACGUUCUUAGUGGAAUUUGGAGACAAUUAUCAUUGGAACAUCAUGCUUGAUCUUCCUUCUUAUAACCAAGUACAUUCCUUUUGAACCAGCACUGGUAUGUGCAUUAGAGCAUAUAGGAUCUACAAUUUUGGAGGAGUUCAAGCACACAUUUCAAACGGGAUUAUUGAAUCAAGGGGAGGAUUUUUAUGCACGUGCUAGUAAUUGCAUUGAGUCCUGUUUGUCUAAAUUUGUCCAAGCCUGUCCAGUUCAACCUACAUUAUUGGAGUGGAGACAUGUUGUAUUGGGAAUUCUUGUCUCAAAAUGACAAGUUUAAAAGCACAGGUUGAUAGUGGAACAUCAUUUACAUUUCUUCCUGGGCAUGUGUAUGAAUCCAUAGCAGAGGAGUUUGAUAAAAAGCUAAAUGCUUCAAGAGCUACCUUCAAAGAUACUCCCUGGGAGUAUUGUUAUGCUUUCCAGCUUCCUCCUAAAUAGACCGACCAGUUUGAUUCUGGCAUUCAGGUCACUCCUGCAAAAAGCUCAUUUUGAGAUAGAAGGGGACAUAGCAACCUUGUAGGAAGCUCAUUUUGAGUUUAUAGACUUGUAGUAUUUUUUAUUGUUUAGAUUUGUAAUAUGAUUUAUUACUUUUUAAGAAAAAUUUGUGUAUCAAUAUUUUGAGUUUAAUGAAAUAUCUUAUUUUAUA